GCAGUAGCAGGCGUACUGUCUAGGGGACAGCUGCUCCGCUUUUGCACCCUGCACUAGGAGGAGGAGGUGGAUGUGGAGUAGGAGGUUGAGGAGGCGUUGACCGUGGCGACAACGACACAUUCAGAUGUCUGCCCUAUCAACUUUCGAUAUUACUAUCUGCGCCUACCAUGGUGACCAUGGGUAACGGGGAAUCGGGGUUCGAUUCCGGAGAGAGAGCCUGGGAAACGGCUACCACAUCCAAGGAAGGCAGCAGACUCACAAAUUACCCACUCCCGACGCGAUGAGGUAGUGAC